CUUUUCGGGGCGAGGUGUAAUUCCUCACCGGCGGUUAUAGUCCGCAAGCCUUUAAGGCACGAGCAGGUGAAAUUCCUGCACCGACGGUACAGUCCGGAUGGUAGAAAAG
rnacentral:ncRNA from 1 species